rnacentral:snoRNA from 2 species
GGUCAGAUGAUGAGUAUUAAACUCCAAUAAUAUGAUUGGAUAUUAUUCUCCUGUGAUUGUAUUUAAGUCUCUGAUGACC